AAAGAACAAAGGUCUUUUUCACCAGAUCACAAAGACUCACGGGACAAUAAUCUGUGUGUCUACGGGGGUGGUGCUGUUACUCCUAAUUGUCUCCAUUCUGGUGCAAGUCAAGCAGCCACGUAAGAAGGUGUUGGUUCGUAAGAACAACUUGUUUCCUCGUGCUGACUUCCAGGAGGUGUUUGACCCUCCUCACUAUGAACUCUUUAAUCUCAGAGACAAGGAGAUUUCUUCAAGAGACCUUGGG